AAGUACGGUCGCAAGGCUAAAACUUAAAGGAAUUGGCGGGGGAGCACCACAAGGGGUGAAGCCUGCGGUUCAAUUGGACUCAACGCCGGGAAACUUACCAGGGGAGACAGUAGAAUGAAGGUCAGGUUGACGCCCUUACCCGACGAGCUGAGAGGAGGUGCAUGGCCGUCGCCAGUUCGUGCUGUGAGGUAUCCUGUUAAGUCAGGCAACGAACGAGAUCCGCACCUUUAUUUGCCAGCAAGAAGUCACGACUUCGUUGGGAACACUAAAGGGACUGCCAUCGAUAAGAUGGAGGAAGGAGCGGGCAAAGGCAGGUCAGUAUGCCCCGAAACCCCUGGGCUACACGCGGGCUGCAAUGAUAUGAACAAUGGGCUGUGACUCCGAAAGGAGAAACCAAUCCCGAAAUCAUAUCUCAGUGGGGAUUGUCGGCUGUAACCCGCUGACAUGAACGUGGAAUCCCUAGUAAUCGUGUGUCAUCAUCGCACGGUGAAUACGUCUCUGCUCCUUGCACACACCGCCCGUCGCUCCA
rnacentral:rRNA from 1 species